GGGAAUUAUGGGGAAUUAAAAAUCAUCAAUCUAAUUAUUAUUUUUAUCAUUGAUUGUUUCAUGAGCCUUUCAAAAAUCUAUGUUAGUUCUGACUUCAAAAUCAUGGUCAUUCAUCAGACUUCUGAAAUUGGCAUAAGAUGCAUGAUUCAGAUGAUUAACCUGUAAAAGGUCUAAACCAUCACCAUUUUGAAUCCAUGAAAGAAAAGCUGAUUUUUCAGUAUAACUGUCUUACACAACAGACUAUGAAUACUAAGUUUACAGCAGCAACUUUGUAAAAUACAUAAAACUGAUUGAUUCCUGGUUGACAAACUACAUAUGGCACCCAAAACUACCCAUAUUUUCAUUGUCAUAUGACUCACAUUAUUGAUUCCUUGUUGACAAACCACUCAUGGCACCCAAAACUACACAUCUUUUCAUCUGUCAUGACUCACAUUCAAUGAGAAAAUUCCACACCACACGCAUACAGAGGGCUGAGCAGAAUUCAGUUUUAAUAAUAAUAAAAAAAAAACACGCUUACACACACACACACACAGAGGGCUGAGCAGAAU
rnacentral:misc_RNA from 1 species